AUUGAACGCUGGCGGCAGGCCUAACACAUGCAAGUCGAGCGGGGUUUUCGGACCUAGCGGCGGACGGGUGAGUAAUGCGUAGGAAGCUGCCCGAUAGAGGGGGAUACCAGUUGGAAACGACUGUUAAUACCGCAUAAUGUCUACGGACCAAAGUGUGGGACCUUCGGGCCACAUGCUAUCGGAUGCGCCUACGUGGGAUUAGCUAGUUGGUGAGGUAAUGGCUCACCAAGGCGACGAUCUCUAGCUGGUUUGAGAGGAUGAUCAGCCACACUGGAACUGAGACACGGUCCAGACUCCUACGGGAGGCAGCAGUGGGGAAUAUUGGACAACGGGCGCAAGCCUGAUCCAGCCAUGCCGCGUGUGUGAAGAAGGCCUUCGGGUUGUAAAGCACUUUCAGCGAGGAGGAAGGGGUAGUAGUUAAUAGCUGCUACUUUUGACGUUACUCGCAGAAGAAGCACCGGCUAACUCUGUGCCAGCCGCCGCAGUAAUAC
rnacentral:rRNA from 1 species